GGAAGGCUCGUCCGCUCUGGGUUAGUCGGGUCCUAAGCUGAGGCCGACAGGCGUAGGCGAUGGAUAACAGGUUGAUAUUCCUGUACCACCUAUAAUCGUUUUAAUCGAUGGGGGGACGCAGUAGGAUAGGCGAAGCGUGCGAUUGGAUUGCACGUCUAAGCAGUAAGGCUGAGUAUUAGGCAAAUCCGGUACUCAUUAAGGCUGAGCUGUGAUGGGGAGAAGACAUUGUGUCUUCGAGUCGUUGAUUUCACACUGCCGAGAAAAGCCUCUAGAUAGAAAAUAGGUGCCCGUACCGCAAACCGACACAGGUAGUCAAGAUGAGAAUUCUAAGGUGAGCGAGCGAACUCUCGUUAAGGAACUCGGCAAAAUGACCCCGUAACUUCGGGAGAAGGGGUGCUCUUUAGGGUUAACGCCCAGAAGAGCCGCAGUGAAUAGGCCCAAGCGACUGUUUAUCAAAAACACAGGUCUCUGCUAAACCGUAAGGUGAUGUAUAGGGGCUGACGCCUGCCCGGUGCUGGAAGGUUAAGAGGAGUGGUUAGCUUCUGCGAAGCUACGAAUCGAAGCCCCAGUAAACGGCGGCCGUAACUAUAACGGUCCUAAGGUAGCGAAAUUCCUUGUCGGGUAAGUUCCGACCCGCACGAAAGGCGUAACGAUUUGGGCACUGUCUCAACGAGAGACUCGGUGAAAUCAUAGUACCUGUGAAGAUGCAGGUUACCCGCGACAGGACGGAAAGACCCCGUGGAGCUUUACUGUAGCCUGAUAUUGAAAUUCGGCACAGCUUGUACAGGAUAGGUAGGAGCCUUUGAAACGUGAGCGCUAGCUUACGUGGAGGCGCUGGUGGGAUACUACCCUAGCUGUGUUGGCUUUCUAACCCGCACCACUUAUCGUGGUGGGAGACAGUGUCAGGCGGGCAGUUUGACUGGGGCGGUCGCCUCCUAAAAGGUAACGGAGGCGCUCAAAGGUUCCCUCAGAAUGGUUGGAAAUCAUUCAUAGAGUGUAAAGGCAUAAGGGAGCUUGACUGCGAGACCUACAAGUCGAGCAGGGUCGAAAGACGGACUUAGUGAUCCGGUGGUUCCGCAUGGAAGGGCCAUCGCUCAACGGAUAAAAGCUACCCCGGGGAUAACAGGCUUAUCUCCCCCAAGAGUUCACAUCGACGGGGAGGUUUGGCACCUCGAUGUCGGCUCAUCGCAUCCUGGGGCUGUAGUCGGUCCCAAGGGUUGGGCUGUUCGCCCAUUAAAGCGGUACGCGAGCUGGGUUCAGAACGUCGUGAGACAGUUCGGUCCCUAUCCGUCGUGGGCGUAGGAAAUUUGAGAGGAGCUGUCCUUAGUACGAGAGGACCGGGAUGGACAUACCUCUGGUGUACCAGUUGUCGUGCCAACGGCAUAGCUGGGUAGCUAUGUGUGGACGGGAUAAGUGCUGAAAGCAUCUAAGCAUGAAGCCCCCCUCAAGAUGAGAUUUCCCAACUUCGGUUAUAAGAUCCCUCAAAGAUGAUGAGGUUAAUAGGUUCGAGGUGGAAGCAUGGUGACAUGUGGAGCUGACGAAUACUAA
rnacentral:rRNA from 1 species